GCAAGUGACACGGGGUGCCGGCUGGGCCGGCUGAGAUGGAUACCCGUUGAACCUGAACCAGUUAGGACUGGCGGAGGGAAUGUCACAUGGCUCCAUC
rnacentral:ncRNA from 2 species